GCAUCGCGACCCCAGGUC
rnacentral:rRNA from 1 species